GCUUCCAGUCUCCAGAACUAUGAGAGAGUAAAUUCCUGCUGUUUAAGCCACCCAGUCUGUGGUACUUUGUCAUGACAACCCUCGCAAACUGACACACUGUCUGAUUCCAAACAUUCCCUCAUUUCUCUUUCCUUAGGUUCAUCAUGGUUCAGAAAAGUUUGUCUUCUCUUGGCACACCCAGCUUUGACGGUGCACAUGAAUAGGAUACAGAGGUGCAGGCAGAGGCCAGGCCAGCCCGAGUCAAAGCUUAGGAACAGAGGAUGAAGACUGUUGCAAAGGAGUGGCGGGGAAUGGUGGAGUGGAGGACCCUGGACAGCCAGCUGCCUGGAAAAAUCAUCUCUAUCCCUGGAACACAUGUGGUUCCCAAAAGCCAAUGACAAACAGCAGCACUCGAUGCUGGAAGACAACGGAGGAGCAUCUGUCUAACUCGAGAAUAAAGUAUCCAGCCAAGAGGUCCAGACUGGAAAGUAACACACCAUCCAUCUCAAACAGCCAGAAACCCAGGGAAUACAGACGGCAUUCAUGAGCUCUUCUCAGAAAAUAUCACCCAGGUGACAAAAUCCAGACCAAUGAAAGAGGAAAUCAAAAUAAAGAUAGAGGCAUGGACAAGCUGUGAUCAAAGGUCUAAUGGGGCAGAGGGGAGACAAACUAAGGAGCAACAUUCCCUGGAGGAAGCCGUUCAAAACCUUUCCAUCUGGAAAGAUGAGGACCUUGGGCUGGUCGCUUUGAAAGCCAAUCUGCCUGUACUUCAAAGAGAUACCAUGCUGUGGGAUCUACCAGGUGCUGUGAAGCCAUCAUCCAGAAAUUUCUCUGAAAAAACAUACUUUAUAGCUUUGCUUCAAAAUCUUGUUAUAUUUGAUUUCAGUGUUCAGUGUUUAAAAUGUUAAGUUCAAGCCCUUUCAACAGAAAGCCCUCUGCAUGGAGGCCAGGCUGCCAACACCGCAGGUGGAGAUCGGAUGACAGGGACUGCACACAAAUGGGUCUCCUCACUGGGGAUCCAGGGAGAAGGUGGAGGGACGGACGCUGAUACAAAGACUUAAAGGUAGUUUCUAGAAGAACCACUGACUGAAAUGCAGCAGGGGUUUGAUGGUCAGUGAAUUAAUGCCUUCUAUGCCUGAGCUUCCUCUUUCUGCUGAACUAGGAAAAGUGACAUCAGGCGACCAUCAAACAUGAAGUUUUUGCAAUAAUAGUAUCAGUAACUGUAACAUCAAAAACAAUAGCUACUACUUGCUAAGCUUCUGUUACAUUAUCAGGCACUAAGCUGACUUAUCUAUGUACCUUAUCUCAUUUCUUUUUCUUUUUCUUUUUUGAGGAAGGGUCUUGCUCUGUCACCCAGGCUGCAGUGCAGUAACACCACCUUGGCUCACUGCAACCUCCACCUCCUGGGUUCAAGUGAUCCUCCCACCUUAGCCUCCAGAACAGCUGGGAUUACAGGUGCAUAUCACCACAACUGGCUAAUUUUUAGUUUUUUUGUAGAGAUGAGAUCUUACUCUGUUGCCCAAGCUGAUCUCAAACUCUUGGGCUCAAGCAAUCCUCCUGCCUCAGACUCCCAAAGUGCUGGGAUUGUAGGCAUGAACCACCACACCCAGCCACCUCAUUUCAUUUCAACCUCCUAACACGCCAGUGCAGUAGGUCUCCUCAUCUUACAGGCCUGGAGGACUUAAGUACAAGUUCAAGGUCACAUGGCCAGUAAUGGCAGACCCAGGGUAUGGAGGAAUGACCAUCUGACUCUGUAUUAGUCCGUUUUCACGCUGCUGAUAAAGACGCACCCACGACUGGGAAGAAAAAGAGGUUUACUUGACUUACAGUUCCACAUGGCUGGGGAGGCCUCACAAUCAUGGCAGAAGACAAUGAGGAGCAAGUCACCUCUUACAUGGAUGGCAGUAGGCAAAGAGAGAGAACUUGGGCAGGGAAACUCCCAUUUUAAAAACCAUCAGAUCUCCUGAGACUCAUUCACUAUCACAAGAACAGCACAGAAAAGACUCACCCCAUAAUUCAAUCACCUCCCACCUGGAUCCACCCACCACAUGUGGGAAUUGUGGGAGUUACAAUUCAAGAUGAGAUUUGGGUGGGGACACAGCCAAACCAUAUCAGACUCUAAAGUCCAGACUCUUAACCAUGUGAUCAUGUUUAUUCCCUGCCUGGUACCAACUUGGAAGCAACUGGUCUCCAGAGAGGGAUGAAAGUCAGGGGCACAGUGACUGUCCACUGACUUGCACAAAAUUGAUAAACCUGCCCGUAAGAGGUUUAGACACAAAGCUGCCUUGAGGCCACUAAACAUGUUCAUGUAUGUGUUAAGUUUGAGUGGAUGAAGCAUUAAACUCCUAACUCUACUUACAAAGGAGAAUGAGCUGGGUCUAAGUUCUGGGCCUCACUCAGUUUACCCUGUGUCCCCAGGUGAGUUGCUGAGCUUCAAGCCCUCACCUUUGCUAUGGGAAAAUGUGCCCUGAUUAGCUCACAAAAAAAAGGCUGCUGAGGGGUCAAAACGAAAUUAACAGCUAAGAAUCAGUGUUUUGUGAUUGCUUUAAUAGGGUUCUAGUUUUUACAGAAAAUUUAAAAUUUUGAUGAUGGCAUCUUUUAUUUCUCAGAUGCUACUGAAUCUGCCUAUUAGAAGCUUGGAUGCUUAGACCAUGAAGCCACAGUGGAAACUUUAAGACAGUCCUCAAGAGCUAGCAGCAGUCUUGGGGGUAGAGAUCACUGACAUGCAGGCAGAAAGGCCAGACCUCCCCAACCAACCCCCUGCCCCUGGAACCCCAAUAAUGUCUCUCAUUUGGUUGGCAGUUUUGUAAAACUGGGAGUUGAAUGUCUUGAGUCUGGCAUAUAUUGCUAGUUGUGAUAAUUCCCACUAACUUCUCUUGUACUAUAUGAGGCAUUUUACACAUUCAUAUUAUUAAUCUGCCUGGACCAUGAAGGCUUUUUACCCAGCACUGAAGAGUUAGUUGAUUAAUUUGUUCUUUUUUCUCAUUCAUCCAUGUAUUCAACACAUUUUUUUUUUUUUUUGAAACAGGGUCUCACUCUAUCACCCAAGCUGGAGUGCAGUGGCACGAUCAUGGCUCACUGCAACCUCGACCUCCUGGGUUCAAGAGAUUCUCCGACUUUUUGGUUAGCUGGGACUACAGGUGUACACCAUCAUGCUCAGCUAAUUUUUGUAUGUUUUGUAGAGAUGGGGUCUUGCCAUGUUGCCCAGGCUGGUCUCGAACUGCUGGGCUCAAGCGAUCCUCCUGCCUCGGCCUCCAAAAGUACUGGGAUUAUAGGCAUAAACCACCACACAUGGCAACAAAUAUUUUUUAUUGAAUAUACGUGUCCCCCAUAAGCAGGUGUGACUGCUAGGUGCUAGGGAUGGAGUGAUGAACAAGACAGACUUACGGAAUCUACAAUCUGGCAACAUCUCUUAUGUAAUCCAUAACAGAUUACCAGAGUAAUGAGCGCCAAAAACCCAAACUUAGGGCUUGCCAGUCCACGUCCAUAAUAAAGUGGCUUGUGCCCUAACUUUAGGGUCAACUCAAGUGAUCCUCCUACCUCGGCAUCCCAAAGUACUGGGAUUACAGGCGUGAACCACCAUGCCUGUCCUAACUCUGCAUAUUUUAAAAAUCGCAUUCCCGACCGGCUGGGCAUGGUGGCUCACACCUGUAAUCCCAACACUUUGGCAGGCCGAAGUCACUUGAGGUCAGGAGUUCGAGACCAGCCUGGUCAACAUGGUGAAACCCCAUCUCUACUAAAAAUACAAAAAUUAGCCGGGUGUGGUGGUGGACACCUGUAAUCCCAGUUACUCAGGAGGCUGAGGCAGGAGAAUCGCUUGAACCCGGGAGGCAGAAGUUGUAGUGAGUCAAGACUGCACCACUAUACUUCAGCCUGGGUGACAGAGUGAGACUCUGUCAAAAACAAAACAAAACAAAACAAAACAAAACAAAACAAAACAAAAACUCAUUCCCCUACAUCAAUUUUGAUAGAACUAAGGCUAGGAAAAUUUGAAUUAUACAUGUGUUUUAAAUACCUGAGCAAUAUCUUUAGUUUUCUGACACCUUCUUACUGCCAUGAAUUUUAAUUCAAAGCUAAGUGUAUUUAUAAAGUACCCUGGAGUUCAGCCUCUAAAGUGCAUCACUGGAGAAAAACCAAAACAAUCUUUGUCUAGGGAAGAGAGUGAUAGAAGACAAAAUGAACUCAGGAAGUAGAUGGGCCUGGGAGACUGCCCAAUGCUUUCCUGGUUUGUGGGCCCCUGGCCAAACCCCUCAGCAUCACCCUGGCUGAGCAAUCCAUAAGGAGAUUGGAUAGGGAUAGCAGGAUAAAGACCAAAUAUCAAGGAAUGCCACUGGCUGACUAGAAAAUUUCAGGAAUUCCUGAAAGAUAGAGGGGAGAGAUCACAUCCAUAAAGAACUAAAGGAAAAGGAAACUGCAGAUUAAAACAUACAUGGUGGGUUGGGCACAGUGGCUCAUACCUGUAAUCCCAGCACUUUGCCAGGCCGAGGUGGGUGGAUCACCUGAGGCCAGCAGUUCAAGACCAGCCCGGCCAACAUGGUGAAACCCCAUCUCUACUAAAAAUACAAAAAUUAGCCGGGCGUGGUGGCACACGCCUGUAGUCCCAGCUACUUGGGAGGCCGAGACAGAAGAAUUGCUUGAACCUGGGAGGUGGAGGUUGCAGGGAGCCAAGAUCGUACCAGUGCACUCCAGCCUGGGGGAAAGAGUGUCCUGUCUCAAAAAAAAAAAAAAAUAAUAAAAACACAGACAUGGUAUAUUAGUCUGUUCUCACCCUGCUAUGAAGAAAUACCUGAGACCAGGUAAUUUAUAAAGAAAAGAGGUUUAGUUGACUCAAAGUUCUCCACAGCUGGGGAGGCUGCAGACAACUUCCAAUCAUGGCAGAAAGCACCUCUUCACAGGGUGGCAGGAGAGAGAAAUUAGUAAAGGGGGAAGCAUGCUGGGCACAGUGGCUCAUGCCUAUAAUCCCAGCACUUUGGGAGGCUGAGGUGGGUGGAUCGUUUGAGGUCAGGAGUUCGAGACUAGCACGGCCAACAUGGUGAAACCCCAUCUCUACUAAAAAUACAAAAAAUUAGCCAGGCGUGGUGGUGGAUGCCUAUAAUCCCAGCUACUCAGGAGGCUGAGGCAGGAGAAUUGCUUGAACCCAGGAGGUGCGCUGCUGCAUACCAACCUGGGUGACAGAGUGAGACCCUGUCUCAAGAAAAAAAAAAAAAAACAACCUCCGGAGAACAGAGCAGAAACAAUGAAAGAGAAUGAUAAUAACAGUAGUAAUAAUAAAUGAAAAAUUUCCAGUGCUAAAGAAAGACACAAGCGUGCAGAUGCCCCUGGCUUCAGCCUACGGGUGAGCCUCUCUGCUGCCCCUUACUUAAUAUAGCCGGGGACAGGCUGCAGCCCUAAAAGCGGCCCCCCACUCUAGCCUCAGGGCUCCCUGUCACACAUCUUGAUGCUGAACUCACCUACACAUGCACAUGCACACACUGCUCCUUCUAUGGAAGUUUUUACGGCCCUGAAAUUUUUGCUGAAAAGGCCCACUUAGUGUUUUCAAUGGGACAAAGAUUUUGAGACAGAUAUAUUCAUAUGGAUGAAAGGUACACUCUCUCAAAAAACAUUUUGACUCUAUAUGCAAAGAAUGACAGAUAUUUGAAAUAUAUAAGGCAAAAACAAAUGCAGGGGAAAACUGACAAGUUCACAGAUAUCAACCAGAUCAAAGAGACAAAAAGUAAGUCAAGCCCUACAGCGGUGGUUUGCUAAUGAGUAUGAGAGUUUCCAGGGAAGCUUAUUAAAAAUGCAGGCUCUGAGCACUCCAUGCCUCCUCCAAAUCCAGUUCUAUACCUAUGGGUGUGGUGUGAGAAUUCACAGCUUUAAUAAGCAGCCCAGGUGAUGCUAAUAUAGGUAGUCUGAGACCACACUUUAAGAAUCACCCAGUUAAGUAUUACAACUAAUCGUGUGUGAUUUAACAGAUAUAUUGAGAACUUUGUACCAAAAAGAGAAUGAUUAUUCUUUUGAAAUAUCAUAGAACAUUCAUAAAAAUCAUCUGGUAGGCCACAAACAAAAAACCUCAGUAACUUUCAAAACCCAGAAAUUAAACCAUCUUUAAUUUUAGGCCAUUUUAAAUCAUAAUGUGGCCAAAUUAGAAACUAAUACAAAACGAUAGCAAAAAUACAAAACUAGAUAAACAAAAAACUGUUUACUUAGAACGUUUGGGAAAACUCUCCUACAUAAAGAAGAGAGGCUGGGCAUGGUGGCUCAUGCCUGUAAUUACAGCACUUUGGGAGGGCGAGGUGGGAGGACUGCUCAAGGCCAGGAGUUCAAGACCAGUCUGGGCAACAUAGCAAGUCCCUGUCUCUAAGAAAAAAUUAAAAGAUUAGCCAGGCAUGGUGGCGCAUGCCUGUAGUCCCAGCGGCUUGCGAGGUUGAGGCAGGAGCAUCACUUGACCCCAGAAGAUUGAGGCUGCAGUGACCCAUGAUCAUGCUCUGCAUUCCAGUCUGGGUGACAGAACAGGACCCUGUCUUAAAUGAAAAAAUAAACAUAUAGGAGGGGAAAAAAAAAACACCCUAAACUAAUAAGCCAAUUAGAAAUAAAUGGCCAGGUACAGUGGCUCACGCCUGUAAUCCCAACACUUUAGGAGGCCAAGGCAGGCGGAUCACCUGAGGUCAGGAAUUCGAGAGCAGCCUGGCCAACAUGGUGAAUCUCUGUCUCUACAAAAAAUACAAAAAAAAAAAAAAAUUAGCCGGGUGUGGUGACACAUGCCUGUAGUCCCAGCUACUUGGCGGGGUGAGACAGGCGAAUCACUUGAGCCUGGGAGACGGAGGUUGCAGUGAGCCGAGCAAGACUCUGUUGCACUGCACUCCAGCCUGGGCGACAGAGCAAUACUCUGUCUCAAAAUAAAUAAAUAAAUAAAUAAACAAAUAAAUAAAUAAAUAAAUGACAAUGAAAGUAUUACAUAGUACUAUAUGGUAAAAUUUGCAGAGUAAAUACAAAGCAAUAUUCAGAGGAAAAUGUAUAGCCUAAUUGAUAUAUUAGAAAAUAGUAUGAAAAUUAAAUGGGCCAGGUGUGGUGGGUCACACCUGUAAUCCUAGCACUUUGGGAGGCCAAGCGGGAGGAUUACUUGAACCUAGGAGUUUGAGACCAGCCUGGGCAACAUGGUGAGACAUCUUCUCUACCUAAAAAAAAAAAAAAAAAAAAAAAAGAAGAAGAAAAGAAAAAGAAAAAAUAAAUUAAACAUUUAACUUAAGUCAGGUUACAGUGGUGGAGGUCAGGGAGAACCAAUGUGAUACCAAAAAGUUUAAGAGAGGAAUUAAGAUGAAAGCAGAAAUAAGCUGAAAAAAAAAUAAAUAAAUGAGUAAAUGAAUGAAUGGAUGACUAAAUAAAUAACGUAUACUUGCUCAAUAAAAGUAAAAGCUGGAGAUGGUUUGGCUGGGUAGAUAUAGACAGCUUUUCAUAUUAUACUCAACUUACUUCUAAACUGUUUGAAUCUUUUUAAAUGAGAAGGCACCCAUGUAUUAGGUGUUAGAUAAAAUGAUACAAAAUAAUGUAAAAAUUGUUUCACAUCAUACCUAAGAAAUUCUAGGUCGGCUAUAAAUGCAAGAUAUUAAAGUUAUUCUAAUAUUGA